rnacentral:rRNA from 1 species
UACAUGGGGUGCAAACGUUGCUCGGAAUCAUUGGGCGUAAAGCGCGCGUAGGCGGUUACUUAAGUUGGAUGUGAAAGCCCUCGGCUUAACCGAGGAAGUGCAUCCAAAACUGAGUAGCUAGAGUACGAAAGAGGGUCGCGGAAUUCCCGGUGUAGAGGUGAAAUUCGUAGAUAUCGGGAGGAACACCGGUGGCGAAGGCGGCGACCUGGGUCGAGACUGACGCUGAGGCGCGAAAGCAUGGGGAGCAAACAGG